GCGGAUAUGGUGGAAUGGCAGACACGCCAGACUUAGGAUCUGGUGCUUCGGCGUGUGGGUUCGAUGCCCACUAUCCGCACCA
rnacentral:tRNA from 2 species